AACCGUUCUCAGGGCGGGGUGCAAUUCCCCACCGGCGGUAUCGGGAGUGAUCCCGGAGCCCGCGAGCGCUUUCACGCAAGUGGAAGGUCAGCAGAUCCGGUGAGAUGCCGGAGCCGACGGUUAAAGUCCGGAUGGAAGAGAACAACG
rnacentral:ncRNA from 2 species